rnacentral:lncRNA from 1 species
CCUGCAUGUGACAGAUCAGCUGGCACCUCCCAGAUCAGUAAACUGGGUCAUCUGAUCCUGUGCCCCUGACCCAGUAACUGACUCAGUACAAGAGGACGGCUUCAACUCCCUAUGAUGUCAUCCCUCACCAAUUAGAGCUCCUGGCUCACUGGCUUCACCCCACCCACCAAGUUCUCCUUAAAGACUCUGCUCCUGGAGUAAUAAUAAAACUCUGAUCUCCUGCACAGCUGGCUCUGUGUGAAUUUCUCUUUCUCUAUUGCAGUUCCCAUCUUGAGAGAUCGACUUUGUCUGGGUAGCAGGCAAGGUGAACCUAUUGGGAGAUUACAAAUUUGGGUGCUCAUCUGAGAUUGCCCUUAUGGCUACUUCUGCCCAUGGUUUGAUACCAGCCUUGGUAAGGUUUCCCUUUUAAUGAAAAGAAGCCCCCAAAUAAUUUCUUUUCUAACAGAGAGCAGCCUGUAAAAUUGAGCUGCAGACAUAGAUAACCAAGCUGGAAGCUUACACGGGUGAAUGCCGGCAGCUGUGCUAAUAGGAAAAGGCUACCUGGAAGCUAGGCAUGUCCAACAUGGUGGCUCCAUCUUCCCCUUUCCUUGCCAACCACAUGUGCAGUAGGGAGCAGACAACAUGGCACUCACUAGCCCACUAGAAAACCCAUUUGCAUAAUAAAAAGAUUAGCAUGGGGCAGCCAGGUUCUUUGCGUGCUAUAUAAACAUCACACCUGGUCCAACCAAUCUUUGAGUCCUAUGUAAGUUAGACACCGCCUCCUCAAGUCAGUCGUAAAACCCCAUGCACUUCACCACAAAAUCGAAGACCCACUUGGGUAGCACCCCUCUCUCUCUGCAGGAAAGAGAGUUAUUCUGUUUUUCUUUCGCCUAUUAAACCUCCACUCUUAAACUUACUCCUCGGGUUGUCCAUGUCCUUUAUUUCCCUGGCAUGAGGCAAUGAACCUCUGGUAUUACCCAGUGAAGGAUGCCAUUUCAGUAUCACAGAGAAGUUUAUCCCUUCAAUGGAAACUGUGUUAUGUGGACUAUUAGCAAUAAUAAAUGGGUUACUACCUGGUGAAAAAAUAUGUUAUUUUAUAAUAUCAGACUGCCAGUUUUUUUCUGUCUUUGCUCCAUCUUGACCUUAAGAUGUUCAUCAACUCAUUUUUUUCAAGCAAAGUACAUGACUGAUGGAACUGCCAUAAUAAUAAUAUUUCACUGAAAUCUGGCAUUACAAAAUUUAAGUGGGUAUUUGGAGGUCCAUGCAUUGAUUACAGUUUUUAAAUUUGAAAUAAAUAACCAGCAUCCUUUCUUCCUGUGUCCAUGUGUUCUCAUUGUUCAGUUCCCAUCUAUGAGUGAGAAUAUGCGGUGUUUGGUUCUUUGUUCUUGCGAUAGUUUACUCUCCAGUGGCGCAAUCGG